CCAAUAGCGUAUAUUAAAGUUGCUGCAGUUAAAAAGCUCGUAGUUGAAUUUCGGGACCAAUAUGUCGGUCGUGCCUCGGUACGUACUGGCAUCGUUGGUUUCUCCCUUCUGACGAACCAUGAUGUCAUUUAUUUGGUGUCGUGGGGAAUCAGGACUGUUACUUUGAAAAAAUUAGAGUGUUUAAAGCAGGCUCACGCUUGAAUACAUUAGCAUGGAAUAAUGAAAUAGGACGUUUGAUUCUAUUUUGUUGGUUUCUAGGAUCGACGUAAUGAUUAAUAGGGAUAGUUGGGGGCAUUAGUACUCAAUUGUCAGAGGUGAAAUUCUUGGAUUUAUUGAAGACUAACUACUGCGAAAGCAUUUGCCAAGGAUGUUUUCAUUAAUCAAGAACGAAAGUUAGGGGAUCGAAGACGAUCAGAUACCGUCGUAGUCUUAACCAUAAACUAUGCCGACUAGGGAUCGGAUGAUGUUAAUUUUUUAAUGACUCAUUCGGCGCCUUACG
rnacentral:rRNA from 1 species